rnacentral:rRNA from 1 species
UACGUAGGUGGCAAGCGUUAUCCGGAUUUACUGGGUGUAAAGGGCGUGUAGGCGGGAGUGCAAGUCAGAUGUGAAAACCACGGGCUCAACCUGUGGCCUGCACUUGAAACUGUAGUUCUUGAGUACUGGAGAGGCAGACGGAAUUCCUAGUGUAGCGGUGAAAUGCGUAGAUAUUAGGAGGAACACCAGUGGCGAAGGCGGUCUGCUGGACAGCAACUGACGCUGAGGCGCGAAAGCGUGGGGAGCAAACAGG